UCACCCCUCAAGCCCCCGGCUUGGUGUUGGACGGCUUGGUGGAGACCCCCUCGCGGGCGUCCCACCCCUCCCAAAGACAAUGACGGCGGCCUCGUUGGACCCCCGGUACACUGAGUUCUUCACGGGACACGUAUCGGACACACGGGUUUACGGGCCACGGUCUGCCUCCCCUCAGGGAGAAUCUUAUCAA
rnacentral:misc_RNA from 2 species